rnacentral:lncRNA from 1 species
CUCAGAUUUGAAACUCUCUGGUUUGGUCUCUCCUUAUUUCCUGACACAGAUGGAGACAAAAGGCUUUUUUUUUAGUAGUCGUGUCCCUGCAGGACGGUCUGAGCAGGGCGUGUCAGAGGCGGAGUGAUGGACGGGAUAUAAACGGAGAGUCCUCUGUCGGCGGUGGAGAAAACUCGAACCUCAGGUCCCUCUGGAGGUAAAAUGGACGUCUACUUCCUGCUGAUAAAAUGCUUUUUAAUCACCAGUUUGACGUUCCUGCAGAGUCCACCUGUAGAGACAGGUGUGGGACGGAGACCAGGAUGGAGGAGACCGGCUGACAGGAGGAGCGUCCUCCACCCUGAGACGUCCUCCCUGCCUGAGGACACAGAGGAGGGGACAGAAAGUGAGGUUUCCGUCCCCUUGCACGGAGGUUUCCGAGGGUUCAGGAGGAGGAGGAAGUCCAGAAGAGGCCGUCAGAGACAUGCAGGCCGGUUCAACUCCGACACGGUGAGUUCAGGAUCUUCAAUCAGAGACGUCGAGAGGUCAGAUCCAGUCCAAUAAAAUGAAUAUUCACAGGAUUUUAACUCAAUAUUUGGAUUUAAAUAUAAUUUAAAGAUAUUUUCAAUCAAUCUUAUGUGGUUUUAUCAUUUUUACAUGAUACUAACUUCGUUUAAAAACACUCUAUCAUGAUCUCGACUCUGUCUGGACUUUAACAUGUUUGUGUCUUUUGUUACCUGGUACCUUCAGUCCGGCUGUAGUGAGAUGGAGACCAGGACCUGCAGCUCGUCCUCACACUGCUCCGGAUGUUUGGGUCUGUUCACCUGUGACCUGAUCCUGAGCACCUGUCGGCUGAAGGGCGUGUCCAAACAAACAGGUGACCUGAUCGAGUCUCAUCAUUAAGACUGUUAGUAGACUUUAAAAUGAGAAAGGGAAUAAUUAAAAUAUAUAUAUGUAUUUG